rnacentral:rRNA from 1 species
UUAAAUUGAGAGUUUGAUCCUGGCUCAGGAUGAACGCUGGCGGCGUGCCUAAUACAUGCAAGUCGUACGCUAGCCGCUGAAUUGAUCCUUCGGGUGAAGUGAGGCAAUGACUAGAGUGGCGAACUGGUGAGUAACACGUAAGAAACCUGCCCUUUAGUGGGGGAUAACAUUUGGAAACAGAUGCUAAUACCGCGUAACAACAAAUCACACAUGUGAUCUGUUUGAAAGGUCCUUUUGGAUCGCUAGAGGAUGGUCUUGCGGCGUAUUAGCUUGUUGGUAGGGUAGAAG